rnacentral:lncRNA from 1 species
AUGGGAUCCCACAGAACCCCAUAGAACCCGAUGGGACCCCACAGAACCCCACAGAACUCUAUAGGACCCCAUAGAACCCGAUGGGACCCCACAGAACCCCAUAGACCUCUAUAGGACCCCAGAGAAUCCCAUAGAACUUUAUGGGACCCCACAGAACCCCAUAGAACUCUAUAGGAACCCACAAAAGCCACAAAACUCUAUAGGACCCCAAUGGAACCGCAGAACCCUACAGGAUCCCACAGAACCCCACAGAACCCUAUAGGAUCCCAUAGGACCCCCAUAACCCCACAGAACCCCCCAGAACCCUAUAGGAUCCCAUAGGACCCCCAGAACCCCCCAGGACCCCAUAGAACCCCACAGGACCCAGAGAACCCCAUAAAACCCCACAGAACCCCCCAAACCCCACAGAACCCCAUAGGGUUCUGUGGGGUUCCGGAGGUCCUAUGGGAUCCUAUAGGAUUCACGGGGGUUCUAUGGGGAUCUAUGGGGUUCUGUGGGCUUCUAUGGGGUCCUAUGGGAUCCUAUAGGGUUCUGUGGGGUACGAUAGGGUUCUAUGGGGUCCUAUGGGAUCCUAUAGGGUUCUAUGGGGUUCUGUGGGGUGCUAUAGGGUUCUGUGGGGUCCUAUGGGGUUCUGUGGGGUUCUAUGGGGGUUCUGUGGGGUUCUAUGGGAUCCUAUGGGGGUCUAUGGGGUUCUGUGGGUUCCUAUGGGGUUCUGUGGGGUUCUAUGGGAUCCUAUGGGGGUCCUAUGGGGGUCUAUGGGGUUCUGUGGGGGUCCUAUAGGCGUCUAUGGGGUUCUGUGGGAUCCUAUAGGUGUCUAUGGGGUUCUGUGGGAUCCUAUAGGGUUCUGUGGGGUCCUAUGGGGUCCUAUGGGGUUCUGUGGGGAUCCUAUAGGGUUCUGUGGGGUUCUAUGGGGUCCUAUGGGAUCCUAUUGGGUUCUGUGGGUUCCUAUGGGGUUCUGUGGGGUCUAUGGGGGUUCUGUGGGGGUCCUAUGGGGGUCUAUGGGGUCCUAUGGGGGCCCUAUAGGGGUCUAUGGGGUUCUGCGGGAUCCUAUAGAGGUCAAUGGGGUUCUGUGGGAUCCUAUAGGGGUCUAUGGGUUCCUCUGGGUGUCCUAUAGCGAUCAAUGGGAUUCGACGGCGUUUUGGGACCCCCCCCGAAAUCCCCCCCGCCCCAAAAAGGGACCCCAAAACGGCCCCAAAUCCCAAAACCCCCCCAAAAAAGCCCCAAAUUCCCCCCCUACAUUCCCUCCCC